rnacentral:tRNA from 2 species
GCGCGAUUAGCUCAGCGGGAGAGCACCACACUGACACUGUGGGGGUCACUGGUUCAAUCCCAGUAUCGCGCACCA